rnacentral:rRNA from 1 species
UGGGGAAUAUUGGACAAUGGGCGAAAGCCUGAUCCAGCUACGCCGCGUGUAUGAUGAAGGCCUUAGGGUUGUAAAGUACUGUUGUAGGGGAAGAAUUUUGACGGUACCCUAUGUAGAAAGCGCCGGCUAACUCCGUGCCAGCAGCCGCGGUAAUACGGAGGGCGCAAGCGUUGCUCGGAAUCACUGGGCGUAAAGGGUGCGCAGGCGGUUCGUUAAGUCAGAUGUGAAAGCCCGGGGCUCAACCCCGGAACUGCAUCUGAAACUGGCAAACUUGAGGGUGAGAGAGGAAAGUGGAAUUCCUGGUGUAGAGGUGAAAUUCGUUGAUAUCAGGAGGAACAUCUGUGGCGAAGGCGACUUUCUGGCUCACUUCUGACGCUCAUGCACGAAAGUGUGGGUAGCAAACAGG